AUUGAACGCUGGCGGCAUGCCUUACACAUGCAAGUCGAACGGUAACAGGUCUUCGGAUGCUGACGAGUGGCGAACGGGUGAGUAAUACAUCGGAACGUGCCCGAUCGUGGGGGAUAACGAAGCGAAAGCUUUGCUAAUACCGCAUACGAUCUACGGAUGAAAGCAGGGGACCGCAAGGCCUUGCGCGAACGGAGCGGCCGAUGGCAGAUUAGGUAGUUGGUGGGAUAAAAGCUUACCAAGCCGACGAUCUGUAGCUGGUCUGAGAGGACGACCAGCCACAUGGGGACUGAGACACGGACCAGACUCCUACGGGAGGCAGCAGUGGGGAAUUUUGGACAAUGGGCGAAAGCCUGAUCCAGCCAUGCCGCGUGCAGGAUGAAGGCCUUCGGGUUGUAAACUGCUUUUGUACGGAACGAAAAGACUCUGGUUAAUACCUGGGGUCCAUGACGGUACCGUAAGAAUAAGCACCGGCUAACUACGUGCCAGCCGCCGCAGUAA
rnacentral:rRNA from 1 species